rnacentral:rRNA from 1 species
UGCACUUGAUUAGUUUGUUGGUGGGGUAAUGGCCUACCAAGACUGUGAUCAAUAGCUGAUUUGAGAGGAUGAUCAGCCACAUUGGGACUGAGACACGGCCCAGACUCCUACGGGAGGCAGCAGUGGGGAAUCUUGCACAAUGGAGGAAACUCUGAUGCAGCGAUGCCGCGUGAGUGAAGAAGGCCCUUGGGUUGUAAAGCUCUUUCGUCGGGGAAGAAAAUGACUGUACCCGAAUAAGAAGGUCCGGCUAACUUCGUGCCAGCAGCCGCGGUAAUACGAAGGGACCUAGCGUAGUUCGGAAUUACUGGGCUUAAAGAGUUCGUAGGUGGUUGAAAAAGUUGGUGGUGAAAUCCCAGAGCUUAACUCUGGAACUGCCAUCAAAACUUUUCAGCUAGAGUAUGAUAGAGGAAAGUAGAAUUUCUAGUGUAGAGGUGAAAUUCGUAGAUAUUAGAAAGAAUACCAAUUGCGAAGGCAGCUUUCUGGAUCAUUACUGACACUGAGGAACGAAAGCAUGGGUAGCGAAGAGGAUUAGAUACCCUCGUAGUCCAUGCCGUAAACGAUGUGUGUUAGACGUUGGAAAUUUAUUUUCAGUGUCGCAGCGAAAGCGAUAAACAC